UAAAUACUCCCUCCGUUCGGAAAUACUUGUCGCCAAAAUGGAUGUAUCUAGAACUAAAAUACAUCUAGGUACAUUCAUUUCUCCGACAAGUAUUUCCGAAAGGAGGGAGUAUAAG
rnacentral:pre_miRNA from 1 species